rfam:Myotis lucifugus cont2.134, whole genome shotgun sequence.
GGUGGUUCUCGCAUGACACACCCCAGAAUCGGGCUCCCUCCUCUCUGGUUCCGGGUGCAUCACCCAAGAACUGCA